AUAAUUAGUAUCACAGGGCAAUGUUCCAAGAUCAAGUGAUUGCUAAAUUCUUAUCUGUAAACAUCAGUAACGUUGAAGUUAUAAAAACAAAACAAAACACCCUAAACACAGGGGCCAGCCCCAGGGCCUAGUGGUUAAGUUUGGCUCAUUCCCCUUCAGAGGCCCAGGUUCACUUCCUGGGCAUGCGGCCAUAUACCACUUGUUGGCGGCCAUGUUGUGGUGGCUACCCAAAUAUAAAACAGAGGAAGACAUGCAUAGAUGUUAGCUCAGGGUGAAUUUUCCUCAGAAAAACAAAAAACUAAACAAAAACCUAAACUCUCUCAGCUUUAGUUUCCUUCCCUGUAAAAUGGAGAUAAAAAUAGUACUUUUUCAUCAAAUUGCUGUGAAGAGUAAAUAAGAUAAGGCAUUAAAGUUUUGAACACAGUGCCUAAACAAAGUGAUAAAUUUUAGCUGUGAUUGAUAAUUUUUCCUUCUAUGAAUUGUUUCAGCUUUAUUGUGUGUUUCCAACUAGAUGAUAAAAGGUCUGUGAAACUUUAUUAAAUACUACGUUCUUUUAAACCCAUUCUCUAAGGUUUUUAAUAAAGUGGAAAAACAGAAUCACUUUCCUCAAAUUUAUCCAUUUGCCAGAUCCUACUUCUAACAUCUCCAAGACCAAUUACAGAAUGGCAACUUAAUAUUGCCUAUGUUUGUCCUAUGUUCAUCAGGUCAGUUUUUUGGGGGCAAGAAUCACAAGCCCAAAUUCAUCAUCAGCCAACUAUAGCUACUUUGGCCAUCGCAAUGAAUGUGGAGUUGCAAAGACUUUCUUAACAUAGAGCUAAAAGCCUGGAGUAGUGGGCAGGCUGGGACUGGCAGCUCCAUGCCUUCUGCCACUUGGAACACCACCAUGCCUGCUGCCUUUCUUCCAGGACACUCCAGUAACAUGACUGGGAAAAGAGAAAUCAAAGAAAGAAUAAUGGAAGAUGAUUACAGAAGUUAAACUCCAUUUAUAAACCAUUGACUUUAUCCACUAAACUUCCUCCAAACGGAUGGAGCCCUAAGGAGGGAAGCCUUGAGAUCUCCCGAUAGGCUGGUGUGUACCAGGAACAAUAAAUGACAAAAUAAACUUACUUGAUUGAAU
rnacentral:lncRNA from 1 species